AGCAGCCGCGGUAAUUCCAGCUCCAAUAGCGUAUAUUAAAGUUGUUGCAGUUAAAAAGCUCGUAGUUGAAUUUCGGGACUAAUAUGUCGGUCGUACUUUGUACGUACUAGCAUUAUUGGUUUCUCCCUUCUGACGAACCACGAUGUCAUUAAUUUGGUGUCAUGGGAAAUCAGGACUGUUACUUUGAAAAAAUUAGAGUGUUUAAAGCAAGCUCGCGCUUGAAUACAUUAGCAUGGAAUAAUGAAAUAGGACGUUUGAUUCUAUUUUGUUGGUUUCUAGGAUCGACGUAAUGAUUAAUAGGGAUAGUUGGGGGCAUUAGUAUUCAAUUGUCAGAGGUGAAAUUCUUGGAUUUAUUGAAGACUAACUACUGCGAAAGCAUUUGCCAAGGAUGUUUUCAUUAAUCAAGAACGAAAGUUAGGGGAUCGAAGACGAUCAGAUACCGUCGUAGUCUUAACCAUAAACUAUGCCGACUAGGGAUCGGAUGAUGUUAAUUUUUAAUGACUCAU
rnacentral:rRNA from 1 species